rnacentral:rRNA from 1 species
UGCAAGUCGAGCGGGCGUAGCAGUACGUCAGCGGCAGACGGGUGAGUAACGCGUGGGAACAUACCUUUUGGUUCGGAACAACACAGGGAAACUUGUGCUAAUACCGGAUAAGCCCUUACGGGGAAAGAUUUAUCGCCGAAAGAUUGGCCCGCGUCUGAUUAGCUAGUUGGUGAGGUAACGGCUCACCAAGGCGACGAUCAGUAGCUGGUCUGAGAGGAUGAUCAGCCACAUUGGGACUGAGACACGGCCCAAACUCCUACGGGAGGCAGCAGUGGGGAAUAUUGGACAAUGGGCGCAAGCCUGAUCCAGCCAUGCCGCGUGAGUGAUGAAGGCCCUAGGGUUGUAAAGCUCUUUUGUGCGGGAAGAUAAUGACGGUACCGCAAGAAUAAGCCCCGGCUAACUUCGUGCCAGCAGCCGCGGUAAUACGAAGGGGGCUAGCGUUGCUCGGAAUCACUGGGCGUAAAGGGUGCGUAGGCGGGUCUUUAAGUCAGGGGUGAAAUCCUGGAGCUCAACUCCAGAACUGCCUUUGAUACUGAAGAUCUUGAGUUCGGGAGAGGUGAGUGGAACUGCGAGUGUAGAGGUGAAAUUCGUAGAUAUUCG